rnacentral:rRNA from 1 species
AUUGAACGCUGGCGGCAGGCUUAACACAUGCAAGUCGAGCGGGGUGAUGGUGCUUGCACUAUCACUUAGCGGCGGACGGGUGAGUAAUGCUUAGGAAUCUGCCUAUUAGUGGGGGACAACAUCUCGAAAGGGAUGCUAAUACCGCAUACGUCCUACGGGAGAAAGCAGGGGAUCACUUGUGACCUUGCGCUAAUAGAUGAGCCUAAGUCGGAUUAGCUAGUUGGUGGGGUAAAGGCCUACCAAGGCGACGAUCUGUAGCGGGUCUGAGAGGAUGAUCCGCCACACUGGGACUGGGACACGGCCCAGACUCCUACGGGAGGCAGCAGUGGGGAAUAUUGGACAAUGGGGGAACCCUGAUCCAGCCAUGCCGCGUGUGUGAAGAAGGCCUUAUGGUUGUAAAGCACUUUAAGCGAGGAGGAGGCUCUUUUGGUUAAUACCCAAGAUGAGUGGACGUUACUCGCAGAAUAAGCACCGGCUAACUCUGUGCCAGCCGCCGCUGUAA